UGAGCGUGGACCUAGAUGGUCAAGGAGACAACAGUUACGAGAAGAAAGAAGGUCUUCAUGGUCUGAGGGCUCCUGGUGCUAGAGAGUCACUAAUGAAAUAGUAGCAGCCUGCUUGUCUCCAAAGAGCAGAGAAAAACUGAUCCCUUAUUUCUACCAGAGUUCAGGAAGCCACAUCACAGCCUGCCACUCACAAAGAAGGAAAAGCCUAAGAAUUCAUGGGGACAGGUGGAUCUGAUGUCAUCCAUUUUCUCCUAAACCUGCUUUGAGGUUCUUCUGGUCUCAUAGAUCCAUCCACAUAUGUACCAAAGUCUCAUUUAUUUAUUUUGUGCCUGUUUCCCAUCUGGCUACCUAUUUGCCUCCUACAUAGUCAGGGCAGAUCUGAGGAAACCUUCAGAUUAAACAGAAAAACUCCAGGUAAAAGUGGUGUCCAAGACAGUGAAAAACUGUUUAGGAAGAUAGAAGCAGUCAGCAAGGACAUGGAAAGCAUAUGGCAAGGAAGUUCCCAGGGAUGUCAGGGCAGCACUCUGUUCCUGAAGAAACACAUGUCCGAAGGCAUUGGGGAAACGUUGUUGCAUGCAGAAUUUCUCAGGAUACAUUUGCUGCUCUUUAUAAGCCUCUGAGAGCCAUGAGCAAUGCAGAGCUGUCUGGCUGUCCUUGGGAAUCUACUGAUUGACUAUUCAGUGUUCAGAAUCCUCUUCAUGCAAUUACAACCUUAUCUUUUGAGACAUGUGUCUGUGUGGUGACUGUACAAGCUGUUUUCCAGAAGUUCUGUCACUUCUGAAGCUCACUAGUUCUCUCAGUGGGUUAUUGACUCAUUUUUUUUCUCCCUUAAAGACCUUGGCUUCUCUUGUCAGAAGUCCUUUCCCUAA